GCGCCGCCUCAGCCCUCAGCCCUCAGCCUCCGCCCUCAGCCCUCAGCCUCCGCCCUCAGCCUCCGUCCCCGGCCCUCAGCCUGCGUUCCCGGCCCUCAGCCUCCGCCCUCAACUCUCAGCCUCCGUCCUCAGCUCUCAGCCUCCGUCCCCCGCCCCGCUUCCCUCGCCGGGAGCCCCGGCCCCGCCAAAGCCCAGCCCCGGCCGUGUGGAAGUCUUCUCUGGAGGCAGCUCUGCUCUCUGGUGGAGUUUGAGGCCAGAAGAUGGAACUCCCUGGCUGCCACCCACCUGCAGCAGCAGCUACAGCUGGGAUCAGCUGUUAUAUAAAUGUCUCUGUAUUAUACUGGAAAUUGAACACUGACAGCGUAGGAGAGACAUGUGAAGAGGAGGAGGAGGAAGAAUUGUUCCAGCAGUGGUGGAUGUAUGUUUGGAUGGUGCAGGUGCCCACUUCAUUCACUGCAUCCCUUCAGCACCAAGAGUUCAACCCAGUGCUGGCUAAUUCCAGGGCCUGAAACUGUAUCUACAUGCAAAUCUCAUCCUUUGGAAUCAACUUUCCUUUGUGUCCUGAAGCACUGUGGAAAUGGCAGUGGAUAUUACAUGGGAUGGCCCUCACAUGCUCAGCUCCAUUAGCUUGGACAAUUCAAGGGGAUCUCAGCUGGGUUUCCUGGCCAGGUUACAUAGGUCUCCUGGAAGGCAAGUGGUGCUGCUGGAGGAAAAACCAAUCGGUUCAGAGGUCUGGGCCAGUUCUCCAAGUGCUCUACUGCCUCCUUUGUUUCCAACUGUUCUAUUUCCCAAGAAAACAAACAUCUCCACUACAACUUCCAAGUAGAAUGUGGAAAAAGAACAGACUCAUUUUGUUCCAAAUAUCUACCAUAAUAAGGAACAUUACCACAAAGAUGCUUCCAAACCACGGUCUUCAAGGUAUCAAAGUUAGAAUUGCAGAAACAUCAAAGAAUGAACUCCAAUUUACAGAUCUGCCAAUACAGGCAGCCAGCAGCAUUAUGAUUGAUGUAAUUUAUUGUAAGAUUACAUGGGGGAAGCUCAACACAAAUGAUUUCUGCAGCACUUGUUACUUAUAGAUUUCACAAGCAGUAACAUUAAGAAUAAUGACCAUCUAAUAUACUUCUCUGCAAACCACAGAUAAUACAUUUCUUCAGUUAUUGGUUAAACCUGUGAAUUGGUAGCUCAUAUUGAGAUAGUUGCUGUUGACAAUUCUUUAGGUCCUUUCAUCAGAGAUUACACUGUUUAAUUUUGCCAUCACACACCUUGUAUUUGACUGUUUAGAAGAGCUCUUCGAGUUCAGUUUACCAAGCAAACUUUGUAGUUAUUGUUCACUCUUUUCCAUUCUAUCCAUCCUUAUUCUUUUGGAAACAUUAUCAGCUUUAAUUGUAUAUUUGCUAUUAUUAAAAGAAUACAUUGUAUCAUGGGCUGAGAAUCAGUCUCUAGGUAGCUUUUCACCCUAAGUUAUUGGUAAUGACUUACUAAGAAGUGUAGUAUCAAGGAAGUAUUUUCCAGUUUGAUGUUGCCCUGUAGCUGCUGGGUAUUCCUGUCUCUUAGAAUCAGCAACUUGUGUGGUAUCAAGUUCAAAGCUUAAAACAUGCUCAGAAAUAUGUUAGCAAUUUCUGCUGUUCUGUUAGUGGGAGUAUUUGAUCUGACAAGACUUAUGUUCUCCCAAAAGCUGUUGAGUACUAUAAAAGAGAAUUAAUCCUGUAAGAGUAAUUAAUAAUCUUUAAUCAGAUAUUGUAUGAUUUUCCCUGAAAUCAAUAUUCAGGUGGAUGACUCAGAGCAGUAUGACUCACACUAUUUACUCUUUUGAAAUAUUGACAAAACAAUUUGUUUUAGGGGAAGUAUAUAAUUUUUCUGAAAUUGAAUAAACAUGAAAAAAUGGUAUCUCGAGACCUGUCU
rnacentral:lncRNA from 1 species